GAUGAACGCUGGCGGCGUGCUUAACACAUGCAAGUCGAACGAAGCAAUUGCGACAGAAGCCUUCGGGUGGAAGAUGUAGAAGAUGUAAUUGACUGAGUGGCGGACGGGUGAGUAACGCGUGGGUAACCUGCCUUGUACAGGGGGAUAACAGUUAGAAAUGACUGCUAAUACCGCAUAAGCGCACAGUACCGCAUGGUACAGUGUGAAAAACUCCGGUGGUACAAGAUGGACCCGCGUCUGAUUAGCUAGUUGGUAAGGUAACGGCUUACCAAGGCGACGAUCAGUAGCCGACUUGAGAGAGUGAUCGGCCACAUUGGGACUGAGACACGGCCCAAACUCCUACGGGAGGCAGCAGUGGGGAAUAUUGCACAAUGGGGGAAACCCUGAUGCAGCGACGCCGCGUGAGUGAAGAAGUAUUUCGGUAUGUAAAGCUCUAUCAGCAAGGAAGAUAAUGACGGUACUUGACUAAGAAGCCCCGGCUAACUACGUGCCAGCAGCCGCGGCAAUACGUAGGGGGCAAGCGUUAUCCGGAUUUACUGGGUGUAAAGGGAGCGUAGACGGUAUGGUAAGUCAGAUGUGAAAGCCCGGGGCUUAACCCCGGAACUGCAUUUGAAACUAUCAAACUAGAGUGUCGGAGAGGUAAGUGGAAUUCCUAGUGUAGCGGUGAAAUGCGUAGAUAUUAGGAGGAACACCAGUGGCGAAGGCGGCUUACUGGACGAUAACUGACGUUGAGGCU
rnacentral:rRNA from 1 species